GCCCCGGUAGCUCAGUGGAUAGAGCAAGAGACUUCUAAGCUUUUGGCCGUAGGUUCGAUUCCUACCCGGGGUGCCA
rnacentral:tRNA from 1 species